rnacentral:miRNA from 5 species
AGGUUGGGAUCGGUUGCAAUGCU